AUGUGCAUGUAUUAUGGAUCCCCAUUAGUCCCUGCCAAGGCAGCAGCUACUCUUCCUGUGGUUUAUUAUGGAUCCCCAUUAGUCCCUGCCAAGGCAGCAGCUACUCUUCCUGUGGUUUAUUAUGGAUCCCCAUUAGUCCCUGCCAAGGCAGCAGCUACUCUUCCUGUGGUUUAUUAUGGAUCCCCAUUAGUCCCUGCCAAGGCAGCAGCUACUCUUCCUGUGGUUUAUUAUGGAUCCCCAUUAGUCCCUGCCAAGGCAGCAGCUACUCUUCCUGUGGUUUAUUAUGGAUCCCAAUUAGUCCCUGCCAAGGCAGCAGCUACUCUUCCUGUGGUUUAUUAUGGAUCCCCAUUAGUCCCUGCCAAGGCAGCAGCUACUCUUCCUGUGGUUUAUUAUGGAUCCCCAUUAGUCCCUGCCAAGGCAGCAGCUACUCUUCCUGUGGUUUAUUAUGGAUCCCCAUUAGUCCCUGCCAAGGCAGCAGCUACUCUUCCUGUGGUUUAUUAUGGAUCCCCAUUAGUCCCUGCCAAGGCAGCAGCUACUCUUCCUGUGGUUUAUUAUGGAUCCCAAUUAGUCCCUGCCAAGGCAGCAGCUACUCUUCCUGUGGUUUAUUAUGGAUCCCCAUUAGUCCCUGCCAAGGCAGCAGCUACUCUUCCUGUGGUUUAUUAUGGAUCCCCAUUAGUCCCUGCCAAGGCAGCAGCUACUCUUCCUGUGGUUUAUUAUGGAUCCCCAUUAGUCCCUGCCAAGGCAGCAGCUACUCUUCCUGUGGUUUAUUAUGGAUCCCCAUUAGUCCCUGCCAAGGCAGCAGCUACUCUUCCUGUGGUUUAUUAUGGAUCCCCAUUAGUCCCUGCCAAGGCAGCAGCUACUCUUCCUGUGGUUUAUUAUGGAUCCCCAUUAGUCCCUGCCAAGGCAGCAGCUACUCUUCCUGUGGUUUAUUAUGGAUCCCCAUUAGUCCCUGCCAAGGCAGCAGCUACUCUUCCUGUGGUUUAUUAUGGAUCCCCAUUAGUCCCUGCCAAGGCAGCAGCUACUCUUCCUGUGGUUUAUUAUGGAUCCCCAUCAGUCCCUGCCAAGGCAGCAGCUACUCUUCCUGUGGUUUAUUAUGGAUCCCCAUUAGUCCCUGCCAAGGCAGCAGCUACUCUUCCUGUGGUUUAUUAUGGAUCCCCAUUAGUCCCUGCCAAGGCAGCAGCUACUCUUCCUGUGGUUUAUUAUGGAUCCCCAUUAGUCCCUGCCAAGGCAGCAGCUACUCUUCCUGUGGUUUAUUAUGGAUCCCCAUUAGUCCCUGCCAAGGCAGCAGCUAUUCUUCCUCGGGUCCAAACAGGAUUAAGGCAAUUAAAUACAUUUUAA
rnacentral:lncRNA from 1 species